GGGGAUAACUACUCGAAAGGGUGGCUAAUACCGCAUGAGACCACGGGAUCUCCGGAUCCCGAGGCCAAAGAUCGCACCGGCUUGCCGGUGCUGUCACCAGGGGAUGGGCCCGCGUCCGAUUAGCUAGUUGGUGAGGUAAUGGCUCACCAAGGCUCCGAUCGGUAGCUGGUCUGAGAGGAUGAUCAGCCACACUGGAACUGAAACACGGUCCAGACUCCUACGGGAGGCAGCAGUGAGGAAUAUUGCGCAAUGGGGGAAACCCUGACGCAGCAACGCCGCGUGGGUGAAGAAGGCCUUCGGGUCGUAAAGCCCUUUCGGACGGGACGAACGCUUCGCGGUGACAAGCCGCGAAGUCUGACGGUACCGUAGGAAGAAGCACCGGCUAACUCCGUGCCAGCAGCCGCGGUAA
rnacentral:rRNA from 1 species